CUAGGAGUGGCAGAGGUGUGUGGUGCCGAUAGAUCGAUGAUAAGUCUCUGUUUGUGGGAAGAUUUCCCUGUGACAAUACCGAUAGGGUUUGUCCGCCAUGUGGUGAAAGGAGGGGACUGGAAGGGCCCCAAUAGGAAGCCCUGCGCCACUUCCUUGGCUAUGAGUGUGUCAACCGCUGUAGGGUUUUGCUGUGCGGAUUGUAAAUUAGGACAUUCCAGGAUUCCGG